rnacentral:sRNA from 1 species
AGAUUUUACCGGUAAUAGAAAUGUUGAUAUUGAUGACUAUGCAGUACACUUUAUUACCUUGUAGACUAAAUUUUUUCUUUUGAAAUUUCAAACUGUAAUCAUUUAAAUUCAUGUUCAUUCAAUGAUUGUUUUAUACUUCCUUUUCUGCAAAGAUAUUUGUAUUUCCUAUUAACCUAUCUUUUCCAACUUGUAUGCAAAAUAUUUUAUAAUCUGGUACCGUAUAUGACUUUUUGCAAGAAGUGUUUCUAAGAAUACUGAAAAAAAAAAUGUGGAAAAUUUAUGCAACUGUUGAAAAGUUAUCAACUUUAUUAUCUUUCAUAUUUCUUAAUACUUUAGUUCAAAAUUUCAAAAGAGGGAGAACAUGAAUUAAUGUGAGAUUCUUGGAAAUUUUUCCUUUAAGGCCACCUUAUAAGAUUGUUUGCUCUUCAUCAACUGUGAGUUUGUGAGUUUAUUGUGAGAUUAUAUAAUAAUUUUUUUCAAGGUUGGCUUACAAUUUUGAUAAUAAAUUAUUUGAAUCAAAUCAAAAUUAAACUGCAGCAAUUAUAAUAAAAGAAAACGAUGAUCAUACUUAUUAUAAAAACAUUUGAGUUAGUUUAGCUAAUUGGUCAAAAAAAGGGUAAAAAAAAAUUUAAGGUGGCCUGAACAAUGUAGAAAAAGCAUUCCUAAAUAGAGUUUUCUUGUAAUUGUAUUUCAUGUAUUAUUAUUUCAUUGUAAAUUAAAAUGAAUGUAGCCUGCUUGAAUUUAAUAUAUUAUAUAUUUUUCAUACAUUUAUAAAUAUAUAAAUGAUUUAGUUUUAUACAAGAAAUUAUAUGGCCAUAUUGUUGAAAUUUUGCAGCAAUAAAAGUUUUAAAACU